rnacentral:misc_RNA from 1 species
AAAGAGACAGGUGAAUCAUCGAAUCUUUGAACGCACAUUGCGCCCGGUAGUACUCUACCGGGCAUGCCUGUUCGAGCGUCAUUUCAACCCUCAAGCCCUGCUUGGCGUUGGGGCCCCUACGGCCGCCGUAGGCCCUGAAAGGAAGUGGCGGGCUCGCUACAACUCCGAGCGUAGUAACUCACUGUCUCGCUAGGGAGGUUGCCGCGUGCUCCUGCCGUUAAAGACCACAUCUUUAACCAAAGGUUGACCUCGGAUCAGGUAGGGAUACCCGCUGAACUUAAGCAUAUCAAUAAGCGGAGG